rnacentral:rRNA from 1 species
UACGUAGGGGGCAAGCGUUGUCCGGAAUCAUUGGGCGUAAAGCGCGUGUAGGCGGCUUGGUAAGUCUGCUCUGAAAGCCCGGGGCUCAACCCUGGGAGGCGGGUGGAUACUGCUGAGCUCGAGUCCGGAAGAGGCGAGUGGAAUUCCUGGUGUAGCGGUGAAAUGCGCAGAUAUCAGGAGAACACCUAUGGCGAAAGCAGCUCUCUGGGACGGUACUGACGCUGAGACGCGAAAGCGUGGGGAGCAAACAGGG